rnacentral:rRNA from 1 species
CCUACGGGUGGCAGCAGUGAGGAAUAUUGGUCAAUGGACGAGAGUCUGAACCAGCCAAGUAGCGUGAAGGAUGACUGCCCUAUGGGUUGUAAACUUCUUUUAUAUGGGAAUAAAAUGUUUCACGUGUGGGAUUUUGUAUGUACCAUAUGAAUAAGGAUCGGCUAACUCCGUGCCAGCAGCCGCGGUAAUACGGAGGAUCCGAGCGUUAUCCGGAUUUAUUGGGUUUAAAGGGAGCGUAGGUGGAUUGUUAAGUCAGUUGUGAAAGUUUGCGGCUCAACCGUAAAAUUGCAGUUGAAACUGGCAGUCUUGAGUACAGUAGAGGUGGGCGGAAUUCGUGGUGUAGCGGUGAAAUGCUUAGAUAUCACGAAGAACUCCGAUUGCGAAGGCAGUUCACUGGACUGCAACUGACACUGAGGCUCGAAAGUGUGGGUAUCAAACAGGAUUAGAUACCCGUGUAGUC